AGUGAACGCUGGCGGUAGGCCUAACACAUGCAAGUCGAACGGCAGCACAGUAAGAGCUUGCUCUUACGGGUGGCGAGUGGCGGACGGGUGAGGAAUACAUCGGAAUCUACUUUUUCGUGGGGGAUAACGUAGGGAAACUUACGCUAAUACCGCAUACGACCUACGGGUGAAAGCAGGGGAUCUUCGGACCUUGCGCGAUUGACUGAGCCGAUGUCGGAUUAGCUAGUUGGCGGGGUAAAGGCCCACCAAGGCGACGAUCCGUAGCUGGUCUGAGAGGAUGAUCAGCCACAAUGGAACUGAGACACGGGCCAGACUCCUACGGGAGGCAGAAGUGGGGAAUAUUGGACAAUGGGCGCAAGCCUGAUCCAGCCAUACCGCGUGGGUGAAGAAGGCCUUCGGGUUGUAAAGCCCUUUUGUUGGGAAAGAAAAGCAGCAGGUUAAUACCCAGCUGUUCUGACGGUACCCAAAGAAUAAGCACCGGCUAACUUCGUG
rnacentral:rRNA from 1 species